AUUGAACGCUGGCGGCAUGCUUUACACAUGCAAGUCGAACGGUAACAGGCCUUCGGGUGCUGACGAGUGGCGCACGGGUGAGUAAUGCAUCGGAACGUACCCAGAGGUGGGGGAUAACGCAGCGAAAGCUGUGCUAAUACCGCAUGUGAUCUGAGGAUGAAAGCGGGGGACCGAGCAGCAAUGUUUGGCCUCGCGCCUUUGGAGCGGCCGAUGUCGGAUUAGCUAGUUGGUGGGGUAAAGGCCUACCAAGGCGACGAUCCGUAGCUGGUCUGAGAGGACGACCAGCCACACUGGGACUGAGACACGGCCCAGACUCCUACGGGAGGCAGCAGUGGGGAAUUUUGGACAAAGGGCGCAAGCCUGAUCCAGCAAUGCCGCGUGCGGGAAGAAGGCCUUCGGGUUGUAAACCGCUUUUGGCAGGAACGAAACGGUGUCCGCUAAUACCGGGCGCUAAUGACGGUACCUGCAGAAUAAGCACCGGCUAACUACGUG
rnacentral:rRNA from 1 species